UACGUAGGGGGCAAGCGUUGUCCGGAUUUAUUGGGCGUAAAGAGCGUGUAGGCGGCUUUACAGGUCCGUUGUGAAAACUCGAGGCUCAACCUCGAGACGCCGGUGGAAACCGUAAAGCUAGAGUCCGGAAGAGGAGAGUGGAAUUCCUGGUGUAGCGGUGAAAUGCGUAGAUAUCGGGAGGAACACCUGUGGCGAAAGCGGCUCACUGGACCACAACUGACGCUGAGGCGCGAAAGCUAGGGGAGCAAACAGG
rnacentral:rRNA from 1 species